CAAAUCAGGUAGGACUACCCGCUGAACUUAAGCAUAUCAAUAAGCGGANGAAG
rnacentral:rRNA from 1 species